rnacentral:misc_RNA from 1 species
UACGUUUAGGGAAUGCCAGG